ensembl:snRNA
GUGUUGUAUGAAAGGAGGGAAAGUUAACACUUCUCUUGACAGGGAUUUGAGGCCCUGGGGCCUGACAACAAGCGUAUGGCUAAGGCAUUGCCACCUCCUUCAUGGCAUCCAAUCGUCAUUUUUA